UGCGGCUUCUUCAACCUUGAGCUGUGACCCCUUGUGGGGCGAGCGUCCGCCAGCUCCAGGUCACUAGCCAUUUGGGCAGUUAUUCUGUGAGUACAAGAGGAAACUGGAGUACCGGGAGAAAACCUGUCAUGUUUGGUAGAGAGGGUCACACUGGAUAAAACCUUUCUCACAUGUCAUAGGACAAGAUUGAACCUAGUACACAGUUGGGAGAAAUAUGCACAUUACUACUACACUACUGUACCAACACCCCAUAGUAUUAAUCAGUUCUAUAUUGGUAUCUAUACUGUGCGAUGUGAUACACUAGUCACUAGGAAACAUGUCCAGUUGCACUUUAUGGGAAAGGAAAAAGUAAAUUCAUGGGUUACAAAGUGCUCUAUCAUCUACUGAACAUACAAUGAACCUCAGCUGCCUCUCUCCAGUUACUACAUUAUUCUAAUAUGGACCGUGGUCUUGUCUUUCACUUUUAUGAUAAUAAAAAAUACUACAAUGUCA